rnacentral:rRNA from 1 species
AUGUCGUCUGAGUACUAUAUAAUAGUUAAAACUUUCAACAACGGAUCUCUUGGUUCUGGCAUCGAUGAAGAACGCAGCGAAAUGCGAUAAGUAAUGUGAAUUGCAGAAUUCAGUGAAUCAUCGAAUCUUUGAACGCACAUUGCGCCCCUUGGUAUUACC